GGAGUUAGCCGGUGCUUCUUCUGUGAGUGAUGUCCUUCCUGCCGGCUAUUAACCCGCAGGCCUUCUUCCUCACUGAAAGUGCUUUACAACCCGAAGGCCUUCUUCACACACGCGGCAUGGCUGGAUCAGGGUUGCCCCCAUUGUCCAAUAUUCCCCACUGCUGCCUCCCGUAGGAGUCUGGGCCGUGUCUCAGUCCCAGUGUGGCUGAUCAUCCUCUCAGACCAGCUACGGAUCGUCGCCUUGGUGAGCCGUUACCUCACCAACCAGCUAAUCCGACAUAGGCUCAUCCGAUAGCGCGAGGCCCGAAGGUCCCCCGCUUUCCCCCGUAGGGCGUAUGCGGUAUUAGCCUGGGUUUCCCCAGGUUAUCCCCCACUACCGGGCAGAUUCCUAUGCAUUACUCACCCGUCCGCCGCUCGCCACCAGGGAGCAAGCUCCCCGUGCUGCCGCUCGACUUGCAUGUGUUAGCGUCGCCGCCACGCGUCAUCUGAGCAGAAUACAACUACUGA
rnacentral:rRNA from 1 species